UUUAUGGAGAGUUUGAUCCUGGCUCAGGACGAACGCUGGCGGCGUGCCUAAUACAUGCAAGUCGAGCGGACAAUUGAGAGCUUGCUCUCAAUUGUUAGCGGCGGACGGGUGAGUAACACGUGGGCAACCUGCCCUGUAGACUGGGAUAACUUCGGGAAACCGAAGCUAAUACCGGAUAAUCUUUAGCAUCACAUGGUGCAAAAGUAAAAGUUGGGUUUUACCUAACACUACAGGAUGGGCCCGCGGCGCAUUAGCUAGUUGGUAAGGUAANGGCUUACCAAGGCNACGAUGCGUAGCCGACCUGAGAGGGUGAUCGGCCACACUGGGACUGAGACACGGCCCAGACUCCUACGGGAGGCAGCAGUAGGGAAUCUUCCGCAAUGGACGAAAGUCUGACGGAGCAACGCCGCGUGAACGAUGAAGGCCUUCGGGUCGUAAAGUUCUGUUGUUAGGGAAGAACAAGUACCGUUCNAAUAGGGCGGUACNUUGACGGUACCUAACCAGAAAGCCACGGCUAACUACGUGCCAGCAGCCGCGGUAAUACGUAGGUGGCAAGCGUUGUCCGGAAUUAUUGGGCGUAAAGCGCGCGCAGGCGGUCUCUUAAGUCUGAUGUGAAAGCCCACGGCUCAACCGUGGAGGGUCAUUGGAAACUGGGAGACUUGAGUGCAGAAGAGGAGAGUGGAAUUCCAUGUGUAGCGGUGAAAUGCGUAGAUAUAUGGAGGAACACCAGUGGCGAAGGCGACUCUCUGGUCUGUAACUGACGCUGAGGCGCGAAAGCGUGGGGAGCAAACAGGAUUAGAUACCCUGGUAGUCCACGCCGUAAACGAUGAGUGCUAGGUGUUAGGGGUUUCGAUGCCCUUAGUGCCGAAGUUAACACAUUAAGCACUCCGCCUGGGGAGUACGACCGCAAGGUUGAAACUCAAAGGAAUUGACGGGGGCCCGCACAAGCAGUGGAGCAUGUGGUUUAAUUCGAAGCAACGCGAAGAACCUUACCAGGUCUUGACAUCCUUUGACAACCCUAGAGAUAGGGCUUUCCCCUUCGGGGGACAAAGUGACAGGUGGUGCAUGGUUGUCGUCAGCUCGUGUCGUGAGAUGUUGGGUUAAGUCCCGCAACGAGCGCAACCCUUGAUCUUAGUUGCCAGCAUUCAGUUGGGCACUCUAAGGUGACUGCCGGUGACAAACCGGAGGAAGGUGGGGAUGACGUCAAANGUGGUUUAAUUCGAAGCAACGCGAAGAACCUUACCAGGUCUUGACAUCCUUUGACAACCCUAGAGAUAGGGCUUUCCCCUUCGGGGGACAAAGUGACAGGUGGUGCAUGGUUGUCGUCAGCUCGUGUCGUGAGAUGUUGGGUUAAGUCCCGCAACGAGCGCAACCCUUGAUCUUAGUUGCCAGCAUUCAGUUGGGCACUCUAAGGUGACUGCCGGUGACAAACCGGAGGAAGGUGGGGAUGACGUCAAAUCAUCAUGCCCCUUAUGACCUGGGCUACACACGUGCUACAAUGGAUGGUACAAAGGGCAGCAAAACCGCGAGGUUGAGCCAAUCCCAUAAAGCCAUUCUCAGUUCGGAUUGUAGGCUGCAACUCGCCUACAUGAAGCCGGAAUUGCUAGUAAUCGCGGAUCAGCAUGCCGCGGUGAAUACGUUCCCGGGCCUUGUACACACCGCCCGUCACACCACGAGAGUUUGUAACACCCGAAGUCGGUGGGGUAACCUUUAUGGAGCCAGCCGCCUAAGGUGGGACAGAUGAUUGGGGUGAAGUCGUAACAAGGUAGCCGUAUCGGAAGGUGCGGCUGGAUCACCUCCUUU
rnacentral:rRNA from 1 species